AGGGGGAAAAUUAAUAAUGAAACAAAUAAUAAAAAUAAUUUUAAUAUAAAAUAUAAUAAUGGGGGUUAAAGUAUUUAUAUAGAAAAAAUUAUAAAUUUUAUAGUUAAUUAGUAUUGUAAAAUAAAUUUGAAAUAAAUGAAAAUAAAUUUGAUAAAAAGUAAAUUUUAAUUAUUGUAUCUUGUGUAUCAGAGUUUAUUAAAAAUAAAUUUUUAAAUAAAAAAAUUUCGAAUUUAAAAGAGAUAAUUAAUUAAAAAAGUUAAUGUAGCAUAAUUAUUUUGAAUAAUUAAUUUGAAAUGAGAUGUUAAUCGUUUUUAAAUAUAUCUAAUUUUUUUAGAAAAAAAUUUAAUUUUAAAACUUUUUUUUAUCUAAAUUAAUUGAAAAAUUUAAAUAAACAAAGUUUAAAUAUUUUAAGGGAUAAGCUUUAAAUUAAAUUUUUAUAAUAAAAUUGAAAAUAAAAUUUAAAAUUUUUAAAAUUUAAAUUGUUUAAAAACUAAUAUUUAUUAUAAAAUAUUUUAAAAUAAAUAAAAUUUAAUUGAAUUUAAUUUUUUAUAAAAAAAUUAUAUAAAAUAAUAAAAUAAAAGAAAUAAUGAUAAAAUUAGUAUAAAUCAUAAUAAAUAUGAAAAUUUUUAAUAAGAUAAUUAAAAGGAAUUCGGCAAAUAUUUAUAUUCACUUGUUUAUCAAAAACAUGUCUUUUUGAAAAUAAUUUAAAGUCUAAUCUGCCCACUGAUAAAAAUUAAAGGGCUGCAGUAUUUUGACUGUACAAAGGUAGCAUAAUCAAUAGUCUUUUAAUUGAAGACUUGUAUGAAAGAUUGAAUGAAAUAUAAUCUGUCUCUAAAUUAUAUUUAAAAUUUAAUUUUUUAGUUAAAAAGCUAAAAUAAUUUUAAAAGACGAGAAGACCCUAUAGAGUUUUAUAAUUAAAUUUAUUUUUUAUAAUUUAUAAAAUUUUAAUUGAAAAAUUUUUUAAUUAUUUUAUUGGGGUGAUAAAAAAAUUUAAUAAACUUUUUGUAAAUUUAAACAAAAAUAAUUGAUUAAAUGAUCCAUUAUUAAUGAUUAAAAGAUUAAAUUACCUUAGGGAUAACAGCGUAAUAUUUUUUUUUAGUUCAAAUAAAAAAAAAAGUUUGCGACCUCGAUGUUGGAUUAAGAUAAAAAUUAAAUGCAAAAGUUUAAAUUUUUGAUCUGUUCGAUCAUUAAAAUCUUACAUGAUCUGAGUUCAAACCGGUGUAAGCCAGGUUGGUUUCUAUCUUUAAAUAAUUAAAAUAUUUUAGUACGAAAGGAUCAAAUAUUUAAAAUAAUUUUAAUUUAAGAAUAUUAUUAAUUUAUUUAUA
rnacentral:rRNA from 1 species